GGGUCGCUAGCUCAACGGUAGAGCAACAGCCUUUUAAGCUGUGGGUUCAGGGUUCGAAUCCCUGGCGACUCA
rnacentral:tRNA from 2 species